UAAGCUGUUAUCCAGCUGGCUCUAUCAUAGUUAACAUCCCUUUCACGUUAGGAGAGGGAAAGAAAUUAGAAACUCCUAAAUUGAAAAGAAAAUAACUAAACUGAGUUGAAGGCAGAGACUCAAUGGAAGCUGUUCUAACAAAUGGAAUUGACUGUGCUGCAUUGGUAUAGGAAUCCUUCCAUUGAAACUUCCGAAAAGAUGAAGGAUAUACGUAUAUACAUACGAAUACGUACUGAAAUACUCUAUCAAAUGAUUAAUGACGACCUGAAUCGGACUUUGUAACAAGUCUGCAGGUUGCUCAUAGUAGAUAGAUGAGUACUAAUGGAAAUCAUGUCUCCCAUCAGCUUAUACCUUACCAGAUAGCAGUCAAUUUCAAUACUAUGUUUCUGCAGAAACCUAUGAUAGGUUGCAGGUUGUCCUGCGAAGAGAAAGUUCUGCAUCUAAGAAUAUAAAAGUGGCUAUGUACUUGAACUUGGUGAAACAGAAGAUAUAUGUAAUUUUCCAAACUGAUGGAGAAACCUACAAGAAAUGAAAUUAGAGCAUGCUCGUGCCUACCACGGCCGGACCACGGGCUACAAAACUAGUUACAAUUAAGUGUGGAAAUACCUUGCAUCACUGAUCAACGAAUGAAGUCAAGUUGAAACCCACUAACAAGUGAUUGGCAGGUUGUUAGUUUAAACAAGUUGUAGCAAUUACAACUCAUGAGACGGCAAUCAAGCUUCCACUUGAAUCCUAAUUUUCGAGGGGUUACAUGUACAUAGACCUUACCUUCACUCGUAAAAGAUGAGUACAUGUUUCACUAAAGAUUUUGGAUUUAGACAGGCUCUUUAUUACUGAUUUCAAGCUUCUAUUGAAUAAUGAUCUGUUUGGAAAAUAUUUUCAAAAGUUAAUAUUGUUGGUCUAGAUAUAUUAUGGUGAUUCUUUUGUAAUGCGGACUAUACUGUGGAGUGUUGUUUUGUUCUAGUAUAUGUACUGGAUUUUUUUUUUUCUUACUAGCAGCUACUUAAUGAAAAUUAUCGAAAAACCACGUUUUCAGUUAUGUGGCUAAAGGAUCAACAGAUGGUACAUUUCAGCCUGCUGAAGGCCAACCAUACAGCUCUUCUGGAAUUUAUUGUUCCUCCGAUUUACCCUUCCAUUGGUGGCACUGAUGCAUAUCCCGGGUCUGGUGCAGGAACGUAUCCUCCCAGGGGUGAUUUUGGCAGUGGAGGAGGAAGCAUUAUGAGUCUGUAGACCUCUAUCUUUUAUUUUUUUUGAUUAAUG